AUACGGAGGAUCCGAGCGUUAUCCGGAUUUAUUGGGUUUAAAGGGUGCGCAGGCGGCCAUUUAAGUCAGCGGUUAAAUCGUGGGGCUCAACCCCAUUCUGCCGUUGAUACUGGUGGCUUGAUUGCGGUCGAGGUUGGCGGAAUUCGUUGUGUAGCGGUGAAAUGCAUAGAUAUGACGAAGAACACCGAUUGCGUAGGCAGCUGACCAGAUCGCAAAUGACGCUCAUGCACGAAAGUGCGGGGAUCGAACAGGAUUAGAUACCCUGGUAGUCCGCACAGUAAACGAUGAAUACUUGUUUUCGGCGAUAUACGGUCGGUGGCCAAGCGAAAGCGUUAAGUAUCCCACCUGGGGAGUACGCCGGCAACGGUGAAACUCAAAGGAAUUGGCGGGG
rnacentral:rRNA from 1 species